rnacentral:tRNA from 4 species
GCGGCCGUAGUCUAGUCUGGUAGGACGCCAGCCUGCCACGCUGGUGGUCGCGGGUUCAAAUCCCGCCGGCCGCA